UACGUAGGGUGCGAGCGUUAAUCGGAAUUACUGGGCGUAAAGUGUGCGCAGGCGGCCGAGCAAGUCGAGUGUGAAAUCCCCGGGCUUAACUUGGGAAUUGCGCUCGAAACUACUUGGCUGGAGUAUGGCAGAGGAAGGUGGAAUUCCACGUGUAGCGGUGAAAUGCGUAGAGAUGUGGAGGAACACCGAUGGCGAAGGCAGCCUUCUGGGCCAAUACUGACGCUCAUGCACGAAAGCGUGGGGAGCAAACAGG
rnacentral:rRNA from 1 species